GGGAUGGCACUGUGAGAAACAAAUGGAGGUGGCCAUCAAUAUUAUACCCAACAGGGAGAAUGAAAAAUACCUCAAUGAUGAACUGGAAAUUCUCCCAAAGCUUCCAGGCCACCGAAACAUCAUCGACUUUUAUGGGGCCUACUAUCACAACACAAAGAACAAGUCAAAAACCCAAGGUUUAUGGGUAAGGAAAUGUUUAUUCAGAUAGGUAAAACUUUAUGGACCAAAUUGGCCCAUCAAGAGAAUUAAUAUAAACUUGUAUUUUACAUGGAAAUAGGAUUAGUUUGGUAAAAAUGCACGUCACCAUAAAACAGCCCAGUUACAUGUCAUAUAUUGUAUAACUGUAGGCAAUUAUAGGCUUUAUGUUCUUUAUUUGUCUUCUAGAUCUCUCUGGAACUUUUUGAGGGCUCAGUCAGUGGCCUCAGGGAGACAAGGAGAAACAAUUCACUGGGCGAGAAGUGGACCUCGUACAUUUGCAAAGAGGUCUUAAAGGGUCUGUGUCAUCUUCAGAAAUAUCAGGUCAUUCAUCAUGACCUGAAACCUGAAAACCUCAGGCUGACAUCAUCCGGCGAUGUGAAAAUCUGUGAUUUUGAAUUUGCCACCAUUGGGAAGAGGAGUUCCAGCACCAACGGGACUCCUGCAUAUAUGGCUCCCGAGGCACUUGCCUGUCUCGUAAAUGACAAUCUGGACUAUGACCACAGGGUAUUGUUACCUUUAUUUAUUCUGUAUAUCGGCUACAUGGGGUGAAGCACAUGCAAUGUUUUGCUCACUCAUUUCACAUAAGUCUCUCAUAACAGUGAAAACAAAGUUGUAAAGUACUUGCCCUGCUAUGAGAGGGGGAUCUGAAGUGAGAGAGAGAAAUUCUAAGUGCAGGGAACAAGAAUGGAACAAACCAACCUCAUUUAACUACUUCUUCUUUUUGGGUUUUUCUAACUCUGUGUAACAUCAGACUUCUCUCUGGGGCUCUGUUUAGUGCCAUUAUUUAGGAAAAUGACAUGUUUUCUAUCAGUACAGAGUGGCAUAAUUCUAAUGGGUGUGUUAUUCACAGUUUCACAUAGAGCCACUUUCAGGGGGUGGAUUGAGAGCAGAACUAUCAGAAUAAUCUAUUACUGGAAUGCUUUUAAUGUUCCCUGUAUAAACUCUUGUCUAAUAUUUGUUUUUUUCCCUAUAUUUUGAUAUGUAGGCCGACAUCUGGUCAUUGGGAGUCAGCGCCAUUGAAAUGGCACAGGGCUAUCUCCGUAAGUAACUCUUAUCAUGUGUCUGUCCCAUCAUCCAUAAAGAAUUGUUACUA